rnacentral:piRNA from 1 species
UAUUUUGGAACACAUUCUGAAGGUUGAAAGC